GGGGUUGUGGCUCAGUGGUAGAGCGCUCACUUCGCAUGUGAGAGACUCUGGGUUCGAUCCACAGCACCA
rnacentral:tRNA from 1 species